rnacentral:rRNA from 1 species
UGAAUACGAGAUGCUACGGCGUCGAAGCAGUCUAUGUCAUACUUCCAAGAAAAGCUCGCACUGUCAUAAACAAAUAAUGCCUGUACCAUAACCGACACAGGUGGGUAGGUAGAGUAUACUAAGGGGCGCGAGAUAACUCUCUCUAAGGAACUCGGCAAAAUGACUCCGUAACUUCGGGAGAAGGAGUGCCUUAUUUAUAAGGUUGCAAUAACAAGAUCCAAGCAACUGUUUAUCAAAAACACAGGUCUCCGCUAAGUCGUAAGACGAUGUAUGGGGGCUGACGCCUGCCCAGUGCCAGAAGGUUAAAGAAGUUGGUUAGCAUUCGCGAAGCUGAUAACUGAAGCCCUGGUGAACGGCGGCCGUAACUAUAACGGUCCUAAGGUAGCGAAAUUCCUUGUCGGGUAAGUUCCGACCCGCACGAAAGGCGUAAUGAUUUGGAUACUGUCUCGGAGAGGGGCUCGGUGAAAUAGACUUGUCUGUGAAGAUGCGGACUACCUGCACCAGGACAGAAAGACCCUAUGAAGCUUUACUGUAACUUGAGAUUGAAAUUGGACUUUACUUGCGCAGUAUAGGUGGGAGGCGUUGAUAAUAUUCUUGCGGGAUUAUUUGAGCCAUCAGUGAGAUACCACUCUUGUAAUGUUAGAUUUCUAACUUUGUAUCAUUAUCUGGUCAAAGGACAGUUUCAGGCGGGCAGUUUGACUGGGGCGGUCGCCUCCUAAACGGUAACGGAGGCGCACAAAGGUUUCCUCUGAACGGGUAGAAAUCGUAUCUAGAGUGUAAAGGCAUAAGGAAGCUUGACUGUGAGACCUACAAGUCGAGCAGGGACGAAAGUCGGUCUUAGUGAUCUGACGGUGCUGAGUGGAAAGGCCGUCACUCAACGGAUAAAAGUUACUCUAGGAUAACAGGCUGAUCUCCCCCAAGAGUUCACAUCGACGGGGAGGUUUGGCACCUCGAUGUCGGCUCAUCGCAUCCUGGGGCGGUAGUACGUCUCAAGGGUUGGGCUGUUCGCCCAUGAAAGCGGUACGCGAGCUGGGUUCAGAACGUCGUGAGACAGUUCGGUCCAUAUCCGGUGUAGGCGUUAGAAUAUUGAGAGGAGCCUUCUUUAGUACGAGAGGACCGAGAAGGACAUACCUCUGGUGUACCAGUUAUCGUGCCAACGGUAAACGCUGGGUAGCUAUGUAUGGAGUGGAUAACCGCUGAAAGCAUCUAAGUGGGAAGCCCACCUCAAGAUAAGUAUUCAC